rnacentral:tRNA from 2 species
AGGCUUGUAGCUCAGGUGGUUAGAGCGCACCCCUGAUAAGGGUGAGGGUCGGUGGUUCAAGUCCACUCAGGCCUACCA